AUUGAACGCUGGCGGCAGGCCUAACACAUGCAAAUCGAACGGUAACAGGAAGCAGCUUGCUGCUUUGCUGACGAGUGGCGGACGGGUGAGUAAUGUCUGGGAAACUGCCCGAUGGAGGGGGAUAACUACUGGAAACGGUAGCUAAUACCGCAUAACGUCGCAAGACCAAAGAGGGGGACCUUAGGGCCUCUUGCCAUCGGAUGUGCCCAGAUGGGAUUAGCUAGUAGGUGGGGUAACGGCUCACCUAGGCGACGAUCCCUAGCUGGUCUGAGAGGAUGACCAGCCACCCUGGAACUGAGACACGGUCCAGACUCCUACGGGAGGCAGCAGUGGGGAAUAUUGCACAAUGGGCGCAAGCCUGAUGCAGCCAUGCCGCGUGUAUGAAGAAGGCCUUCGGGUUGUAAAGUACUUUCAGCGGGGAGGAAGGGAGUAAAGUUAAUACCUUUGCUCAUUGACGUUACCCGCAGAAGAAGCACCGGCUAACUCCGUG
rnacentral:rRNA from 1 species